rnacentral:rRNA from 1 species
GACGAACGCUGGCGGCGUGCUUAACACAUGCAAGUCGAACGGAAAGGCCCUGCUUUUGUGGGGUGCUCGAGUGGCGAACGGGUGAGUAACACGUGAGUAACCUGCCCUUGACUUUGGGAUAACUUCAGGAAACUGGGGCUAAUACCGGAUAGGAGCUCCUGCUGCAUGGUGGGGGUUGGAAAGUUUCGGCGGUUGGGGAUGGACUCGCGGCUUAUCAGCUUGUUGGUGGGGUAGUGGCUUACCAAGGCUUUGACGGGUAGCCGGCCUGAGAGGGUGACCGGCAAAAUUGGGCCUGAGUUACGGCCCAGACUCUUACGGGAGGCAGAGGUGGGGAAUAUUGCACAAUGGGCGGGGGCCGGAUGCGGCAACGCCGGGGGGGGAAUGACGGCCUCCGGGUUGUAACCCGUUUUGGCUUGUGAGGAGGCUUGGGUGACGGUAAUGGUAAAGAAGCACCGGCUAACUACGUG